rnacentral:rRNA from 1 species
CAGCAGCCGCGGGAAUACAGAGGGUGCGAGCGUUAAUCGGAUUUACUGGGCGUAAAGCGUGCGUAGGCGGCUUUUUAAGUCGGAUGUGAAAUCCCUGAGCUUAACUUAGGAAUUGCAUUCGAUACUGGGAAGCUAGAGUAUGGGAGAGGAUGGUAGAAUUCCAGGUGUAGCGGUGAAAUGCGUAGAGAUCUGGAGGAAUACCGGUGGCGAAGGCGGCCCCCUGGACAAAGACUGACGCUCAGGUGCGAAAGCGUGGGGAGCAAACAGGAUUAGAUACCCCGUAGUCCCUGUCUCUUAUACA